AGCGAACGCUGGCGGCGUGCUUAACACAUGCAAGUCGAACGUGAAAUGUAGCAAUACAGAGUAAAGUGGCGUACGGGUGAGUAACACGUGGGUAAUCUACCUUAGAAUCUGGAAUAACCGGUCGAAAGGCUGGCUAAUACUAGAUAGAUCAAAUGCACUGUAGAGGUGUGAUUGGGAAAGGGAGCGAGCAAUCGCCUUCGUUCUAAGAUGAGCCCGCGUCUGAUUAGCUAGUUGGUAGGGUAAUGGCCUACCAAGGCGAUGAUCAGUAGCUGGUCUGAGAGGAUGAUCAGCCACACUGGAACUGAAACACGGUCCAGACUCCUACGGGAGGCAGCAGUGGGGAAUCUUGCGCAAUGGACGAAAGUCUGACGCAGCCACGCCGCGUGAGUGAAGAAGGCCUUAGGGUUGUAAAGCUCUGUCGGAAGGGACAAAAACCAUGAUGGUGAAUAGCCAUGAUGCUUGAUGGUACCUUUAAAGGAAGCACCGGCUAACUUCGUGCCAGCCGCCGCGGUAA
rnacentral:rRNA from 1 species